ACGGAAGGCAGCAGUAGGGAAUAUUGCACAAUGGGGGAAACCCUGAUGCAGCAACGCCACGUGUGGGAAGACGCAUUUCGGUGUGUAAACCACUGUCGUGAGGGAAUAAGGCUACUUUUCGGAGUAGUUGAAUGUACCUCGAAAGGAAGCACCGGCAAACUUCGUGCCAGCAGCCGCGGUAAUACGAGGGGUGCAAGCGUUGUUCGGAAUCACUGGGCGUAAAGGGAGCGCAGGCGGAGAUGCAAGCAGUCUGUACAAGACCGGGGCCCAACCCCGGACCUGCAGACUGGACUGUUUCUCUUGGAUAGUUCAGGGGCAAGCGGAAUUCCUGGUGUAGCGGUGGAAUGCGUAGAGAUCAGGGAGAACACCGAUGGCGAAGGCAGCUUGCUGGGGACUUAUCGACGCUCAUGCUCGAAAGUGCGGGUAGCAAACAGGAUUAGAUACCCUGGUA
rnacentral:rRNA from 1 species